CCUACGGGGGGCGGCAGUGGGGAAUUUUGGGCAAUGGGCGAAAGCCUGACCCAGCAACGCCGCGUGAUUGAAGAAGGUCUUCGGAUUGUAAAGAUCUGUCCUAUGGGACGAAAAAAAUGACGGUAUCCAGGGAGGAAGCCCCGGCUAACUACGUGCCAGCAGCCCCGGUC
rnacentral:rRNA from 1 species